GGCAGGCAGCGAGUGCCAGUGCUGGGGCAAGCAAGAGGACUAGGUCCCAGGAGCUGAGGCGCAGCCGGCAGGUUUCCGGGGAAGAAGAUUCACGGGAGUUCCCCUUAAGAGGGGUUAAUUAAGCGGGCAUCAGCCUAGCCCUGUGAGAAGCAGAAGCUAGAGAGUGUGCCGGAAAGAAAGGCUUUGUAUGAUCUGUCACCCAGGCUAGAGUGCAAUGGUGGAUUUCAACUUGCUACAGCCUCUGCCUCCUGGGCACAAGGGAUCCUCCCAACUCAGCCUCCCAAGUAGGUGAAACUACAGGAACCUGACCCAGUUAGCAGAGCUCCAGGGACCCCAGCUGCCUCUGAACGGCUCCUUCCAGAAGACCGAGGACCUUCCCUCCUGCGGCAGAAGGCUGUGACCUGCACAGGGGGCUGGCAUAAGCCUGCACCAACAAAGUGGGUGGCGCCUAAUACCCAGCGGAUGUGGAUGGGAAGCUCCCAGCACGGGCUCCUGAAGGACCCCGCAGAGACAACACGGAGGACUGAAUAGUUGGAUGGGGAGGAACCUGAAAAGGCUGUCUAGUUGGCCACAGCGCUGCCUUCAAGCCUCGGGCUUCACAGAGCAGCUGGAACUCACAACAGCGUGCCCCUGACUCGGUGUGCUCUCCUCAAGCUCCUGGCGUGAGCCCCUGAACAAACAGUUACACACAGCCUCAUGGUCUGGGGAUACCAGCUCCCUCUCAACUGUGAUUCCCGUUUAUCAGUCUACAGGGUUCUCGAAUGUGAGAGCUGUGCUGUGUUUAUCUUGUCUAGUAUUUCACACCAAACAGCAGCAAAUGAUACUUAUUGAAUCAAAGUCAAUUUUAAAAUUAGCAUCUGUAAGAAACACAGAGUGAUUUUUCCAUAAAAAGGCAGAUACGUUGGUAGACAAGUGGUGUGUGAUACCCACCCCCCCCCACUGGAAUAGUGUGGGGGAACUUCUGAGAUCCUUUGAGAAAAGUAAUCAGAUUGUUUUAAGCUGGUACAUCAAUUCCCCCAAGUCUUCUUGAGCACGUAUGGUGCACCCAGCUCCCUGGUGGACUCACCUGUGACAGUGUGAAAAGGGAACCGCUCACCGAAACACAAUACCAGAACACAGGGACAUUAGCAUACUUAUUUACAUAAAUUUACAUAUAACCAUUCCUGUCACCCCAGCUCCCAAACCUGCACACUGGAUAAAUUUUUUAAAAAGGUAGUGUGACCUACUGCAGUUAUACUC
rnacentral:lncRNA from 1 species